rnacentral:rRNA from 1 species
AUUGAACGCUGGCGGAAUGCUUUACACAUGCAAGUCGAACGGCAGCACGGACUUCGGUCUGGUGGCGAGUGGCGAACGGGUGAGUAAUGUAUCGGAACGUGCCCAGUCGUGGGGGAUAACGUAGUGAAAAUUACGCUAAUACCGCAUACGAUCUAUGGAUGAAAGCGGGGGAUCGCAAGACCUCGCGCGCUUGGAGCGGCCGAUAUCAGAUUAGGUAGUUGGUGGGGUAAAGGCCCACCAAGCCAACGAUCUGUGGCUGGUCUGAGAGGACGACCAGCCACACUGGAACUGAGACACGGUCCAGACUCCUACGGGAGGCAGCAGUGGGGAAUUUUGGACAAUGGGCGAAAGCCUGAUCCAGCCAUUCCGCGUGCAGGAUGAAGGCCCUCGGGUUGUAAACUGCUUUUGUACAGAACGAAAAGGUUUCUACUAAUACUAGGAGCUCAUGACGGUACUGUAAGAAUAAGCACCGGCUAACUACGUGCCAGCAGCCGCAGUAA